AUGCACGCUGGCGGCGUGCCUAAUACAUGCAGGUCGAGCGAACAGACGAGGAGCUUGCUCCUCUGACGUUAGCGGCGGACGGGUGAGUAACACGUGGAUAACCUACCUAUAAGACUGGGAUAACUUCGGGAAACCGGAGCUAAUACCGGAUAAUAUAUUGAACCGCAUGGUUCAAUAGUGAAAGACGGUUUUGCUGUCACUUAUAGAUGGAUCCGCGCCGCAUUAGCUAGUUGGUAAGGUAACGGCUUACCAAGGCAACGAUGCGUAGCCGACCUGAGAGGGUGAUCGGCCACACUGGAACUGAGACACGGUCCAGACUCCUACGGGAGGCAGCAGUAGGGAAUCUUCCGCAAUGGGCGAAAGCUUGACGGAGCAACGCCGCGUGAGUGAUGAAGGUCUUCGGAUCGUAAAACUCUGUUAUUAGGGAAGAACAAAUGUGUAAGUAACUAUGCACGUCUUGACGGUACCUAAUCAGAAAGCCACGGCUAACUACGUG
rnacentral:rRNA from 1 species